AGAAUAGUUAAAAUUAUGAUGUAUAAUUCGCAAGAUUUUAUGGUAUUAUUAAAAAUUAUAAAUUUAUUACAAUUAAUAAUUAUUAAACUAAUAUAUUGUUAAGAAAUAAGCACUAUAUAUAACAGUGAAUUGUAUACAGUUUCUAUAAAGUAAAAAUGUAUUCUGGAUAGAAUUUUCAAUGAAAAUCACAUAACGAAUAAAACUUGCAGAGAUUUGAUCGCAUCAAGCAAAGGUGUCGGUGCGGAUGCUCGGGGAUUAUUCCGGAGCCGCGCAGUCGGUCGUCCCGGUUGUCAACGUUCUCGUGAGUAUUCGUGGCUCAACGGUGGUGGUGACGGUGGCGACGGACGUUGGUGCAACGACGGUGGUGCAGCCAAGAUGGCGUUCGCUGAGCGGAGUACGCCGUCGGGUAGCAGGAGCGCGUGAAGAGGAAAAAAAAAA